rnacentral:lncRNA from 1 species
AUGGUCCUGGUCAAACCUCACCUUGUGUGAAUAGUUGUGUAUGGGUACGGUCAAACCUCAACCUUGUGUGAAUAGUUGUGUAUGGUCCUGGUCAACCUCAACCUUGUGUGAAUAGUUGUGUAUGGUACUGGUCAACCUCACCUUGUGUGAAUAGUUGUGUAUGGUACUGGUCAACCUCACCUUGUGUGAAUAGUUGUGUAUGGUCCUGGUCAACCUCACCUUGUGUGAAUAGUUGUGUAUGGUACUGGUCAACCUCACCUUGUGUGAAUAGUUGUGUAGGGUACUGGUUAACCUUCACCUCUUGUGUGAAUAGUUGUGUAUGGUACUGGUAACCUCACCGUGUGUGUGAAUAGUUUUGUGGUAGUAUGGUACUGGUCAACCUCACUGUGUUGUGAGACAGUUUGGGGUAUGGGUACUGGUCAACCUCACCUUGUGUGAUAAUUUGUGUAUGGUCCUUGGGUCACCUCCACCUUGUGAAAGUUGUGUAUGUCCUGGUCAACCUCACCCUGUGUGAAUAGUUGUGUAUGGUACUGGUCAACCUCACCCAUGUGUGUAAUAGUUGUUGUAUGUAUGGUACGGGUCAACCUCACCUGUUGAAUA